rnacentral:rRNA from 1 species
UACGUAGGGGGCAAGCGUUGUCCGGAUUUAUUGGGCGUAAAGAGCGUGUAGGCGGCUAGAUAGGUCCGUUGUGAAAACUCGAGGCUCAACCUCGAGACGUCGGUGGAAACCGUUUGGCUAGAGUCCGGAAGAGGAGAGUGGAAUUCCCGGUGUAGCGGUGAAAUGCGCAGAUAUCGGGAAGAACACCCGUGGCGAAGGCGGCUCUCUGGGACGGUACUGACGCUGAGACGCGAAAGCGUGGGGAGCAAACGGG